rnacentral:misc_RNA from 1 species
UUCUUGAAGAAGCGGGAUAUG